UGGGGGAAUAUUGCACAAUGGGGGGAAACCCUGGUGCAGCGACGCCGCGUGAAGGAAGAAGUAUCUCGGUAUGUAAACUUCUAUCAGCAGGGAAGAUAGUGACGGUACCUGACUAAGAAGCCCCGGCUAACUACGUGCCAGCAGCCGCGGUAAUACGUAGGGGGCAAGCGUUAUCCGGAUUUACUGGGUGUAAAGGGAGCGUAGACGGCGAUGCAAGUCUGAAGUGAAAAGCCCCGGGCUCAACCUGGGUACUGCUUUGGAAACUGUAUUGCUGGAGUGCUGGAGAGGUAAGCGGAAUUCCUAGUGUAGCGGUGAAAUGCGUAGAUAUUAGGAGGAACACCAGUGGCGAAGGCGGCUUACUGGACAGUAACUGACGUUGAGGCUCGAAAGCGUGGGGAGCAAACAGGAUUAGAUACCCUGGUAGU
rnacentral:rRNA from 1 species